CUAUACUGCAAGUCGAGCGGACCGACGGGAGCUUGCUCCCUUAGGUCAGCGGCGGACGGGUGAGUAACACGUGGGUAACCUGCCUGUAAGACUGGGAUAACUCCGGGAAACCGGGGCUAAUACCGGAUGCUUGAUUGAACCGCAUGGUUCAAUCAUAAAAGGUGGCUUUUAGCUACCACUUACAGAUGGACCCGCGGCGCAAUAGCUAGUUGGUGAGGUAACGGCUCACCAAGGCGACGAUGCGUAGCCGACCUGAGAGGGUGAUCGGCCACACUGGGACUGAGACACGGCCCAGACUCCUACGGGAGGCAGCAGUAGGGAAUCUUCCGCAAUGGACGAAAGUCUGACGGAGCAACGCCGCGUGAGUGAUGAAGGUUUUCGGAUCGUAAAACUCUGUUGUUAGGGAAGAACAAGUACCGUUCGAAUAGGGCGGUACCUUGACGGUACCUAACCAGAAAGCCACGGCAAACUACGUGCCAG
rnacentral:rRNA from 1 species